rnacentral:sRNA from 1 species
AGAGAGAGAGUAAAUGCUGAAGGAGAUACCGAAGAAUGACCUGGUUUGGAACGAUAGUAUACAGAGAACUUUUACUGAUGUUCUGUCAUGAGUUUUGGUUCUGGUUGCCUAGAAUAAUAACAGAGAAAUAAAAGAAGAAAUCUCCCCACAGGGAUUUCUAAGAGCUUGUAAAACUUAACUUAUAAUGGAAUGGCCUUAUAAUGGAACAGAGAAUGCAUAAGAAGGUUCUGAUGGGAGUUGUCUUCAGAAGGGAAGUUCUGAGAGACACAAAUAGGUUGUAGCAUUUGCAGAAAAUGUGAGAAUUUUAUGUUUAAUAUAUGGUCAUACUUAAUAUAGUUUGGGAUACGUAAAUUAGCACUGGAAUAUUAGUGAGUUCUGUGUUCCAUUGAAAAGCUGGGUCUGGAUGCCUGUGUGUUCAAUCAGGAGUCACUGUGAGGUGUCCUGUGUUCUCGGGCCUCUGUUUUGAGGGCUGUUCUGGCCUGUUACUGUACCUAUACACCUUGCUUUCUUUAUCCCCCAUACAAGUACAAGACCCCAUUGUGGUGAUACAGACAAUGUAUUGGCAUCCCAGUCUCAGACUUAAUCAAUAUCAGUACCUCGAGUAGUUUAUAAGAUUAAAUUUUGAGGUCAUAGCAAAUGAAUACGCACUUUCUGGUUUUACUUACUGUUCUCAAAUAUAAGCAGAUAUCACUCUGUCUGGUUACUUGGCAGCCAGCUGUAUAUCACAUCCUUUCAGCGACGUUACUAAAAUGCUCAGUAAGAAGACUUGGGGAAAGCUAAGACUAAAGGCAGAGCAGAGCCCAGAGCUCCAGCUGCUGACUGGGGCUGAGAAGGGGGAAUAGCAGCUGAGAUAUAUGAGGUCUUUGGCUCCUUUCCCAGAAUUGCCAGGCUAAGACCUUGGCAGGGACUCAACAGGAAACUGAACUCUAUUUGCAUAUCCUUUUAUACAUGGGAGAUUAAAAGCUUCAACCUUGAGUGAUCACAGUUUUUGAGAAUCAUGACAAGGCAUUAAAGAAGAGGUGGGGUGUCCCGAGGGACGUGAGCGGGAGGCCAUGCAAGAAUCUGUAAGACUCAGGGGAAGACACCUAUAAUGGGAAGCCAGCUCCGCUGAGAGGGAGGUAUCAGGCCUUCUGUCUACGAGCAGUCAGGGUCUUCUGCCAACGGACUUCUGAAGGCGUAGAACCUUUAUCUCAUCCUGCCGCUCCUUCCCCUUUGGCCCAGGCAGCUUUGGAGACAGUUAUGAAUAGAGGAAAAGUCAAGAAAAGUCAAAGGAGCAAAGUGGGAAGGUUGGAUCCUCAGAGAAUAAAGAAGUUGUCUAAAUAUAAAUCUACACCCCGAGAGAUCUACUGAACAUCUGGACAACCUCACAUCAUACCAUCUCAAGAUGGCGACUGCUGCAUCGCUACAGAGAAACACCACAAAGCAGUCAGUUCAGGCAAAUACUAAGUGCUGGAGGCGGAAGAUAUGAACGUGCCACUGACACUCAGGAGGUUGCCAGUGUCACUGGGGCUAAACGGGAGGCAUUUCUGCCUACCGAGCACAUGUUUCUUUGAUAGAGUUUGCUAAGUCCAAGAGGUCUCUGAGAAAGUACUGACUCCAUAUUAAAGGAGCCAUAUUUUGAUUCAUACAAAGAAAAGACCUUUUGUGUGGCACAGCAAUGUGGAGGAAGGAUACUGGUGCUUGCUUCCUGGCUCAGCUGCUUUCAGUGCUGUGGCCUUGGGCAUUCCCCAAACCUUCCGAUGCUUGGGUUUCAUCUGUAAAAUAGAGGUAAUAACAGCGGCCGGUUGCUGGGAGGACUAAUCAAACGGAGCACACAAUGACUUCAUGCAGAAGUUCUCUGAGACUGCAGGCCAGCGUUAUUAACCUCAUUACUGGCAACGCUGGAGUGACUAAUGAAUUUCCACUUCACAGGGCUUUUUUAUUUUUAGCUUCAUCCUGCUGAAAGUCAAAAAAAAAAAAGAAAAGGUUUUCCUUUUUUCAACUAAUAGGAAACGAGGCUGACUGAUCCUAGAAGGUGAGAACUGGAAGAGACCUUGGCGGUAUCAGGUCCAGCUUCCUCAUCUUACAAAUGAGUGUGAGAGGAGAAGUGACAGGCUCAAGUUCUCCUGGGACAGAAGCAGGUCUGGAAUAAGUCAAGUCCUGGGUGGUUUCUUUCCUAGCCUGUAACAACGCUUCCUGCGCAGUGGUUAAAUCCUGUCUAAUUCUUUGUCUCUCACUUGAGAUAACUCAGAAAUUGGCCGGGACUGUGUACCUAGGGAAGGCUGACCAGUGCUGAGGAAAACAAACUAUUAUUCUUAUUAAAAACACUUUUAACAA